UACGGGGGGGGCAAGCGUUGUUCGGAAUUACUGGGCGUAAAGGGCUCGUAGGCGGCCAACUAAGUCAGACGUGAAAUCCCUCGGCUUAACCGGGGAACUGCGUCUGAUACUGGAUGGCUUGAGAUUGGGAGAGGGAUGCGGAAUUCCAGGUGUAGCGGUGAAAUGCGUAGAUAUCUGGAGGAACACCGGUGGCGAAGGCGGCAUCCUGGACCAACACUGACGCUGAGGAGCGAAAGCCAGGGGAGCAAACGGGG
rnacentral:rRNA from 1 species